UUUGCAAUGCCACCCCCCUCCUCUUUUACACCGCUGCUACUCUCUGUUGUUAUCAUCUAUACAGUCACUUUAAUAACUCUACCUACAUGUACAUAUUACCUCAAUUACCUCAACUAACCGGUGCCCCUGUACCGGUACUCCCCUGUAUAUAGUAUCGCUAUUGUAUAGGUCAAAAACUCUAUUUUAUUUGUUGGUGUAGAUGGCCAAGGAAGUUGCACAGAACUUCCCCAACAUCCCCUCCCAAAUUGAUAUGGAACCUUCAAAAACACAUGGAGCAACUGCAAAAAUAAAUGGCUGAGGAUAUACUAAAAAUGUCUGAGUUCAACAAAGCCAACAACUGCUUCAUGUGUGCCACUGAUAAAGAACCUGGAUGUGGCCCAAAGACUGACUGGGUUAGUAACUUUAUUUAACAUGUUUAUAAUCUUUUGACAACAGUAACGGCAUGUCAGACAAUUCACGAUAUAACACAAUGGAUGGAUAAUUUGUAAUUCGUCAUACUGCAUUAAUAUUUGAUAUUAUUUAUAACGUGUUCCGCUUUGUUUUGAUUNNNNNNNNNNGGACAUUAGGUCACAUGACCAAGGAGCUAUUGAAAUUUUACAUUUUGAAAAAUGCAUGUAAACCCCUGUGAGAUGAAAAUGGACAAACUGAAGCGUGUGCAAUGUGUGUCUAUGCCAUCGGGUUAGCUACAACCAGUUUUGAAAGUGUUUGGAGUAAUGGUUAAAGAGCUAUUGAAAUUUGAAAAAUGUGAUUUGUCACUAUGUUGACGGUCCCUAACUGCUGUUGGUGGACGUAAGGAAAACUACAGGCGAAUAUCCUUCGAAUAUCCAACCUGAAACUGUCUUUACCUCGGUCUCUCAACACCUGUUGAAUACGGCCGGUGUCAGUAAACGUUGGCAAAACAUACAUUGUUGCCAGCAUCACAGUUGCAGUCACCUACGCUCUGGAUAACAUGAAACCAGCCUAACCAGCUCUGCUAGGGCGAGUAAAAUGGUCAGUGAACGGUUGUCUCACGGUAGCCAGUUAUCUCUCUCGUUAGCCAGUUAUCUCUCUCUGUAGCCAGUUAUCUCUCUCGGUAGCCAGUUAUAUCUCUAGUUAUCUCUCUCGGUAGCCAGUUCGCUUGAGCGCAUGACGGUUGGUUCCACGCAGCAGAG
rnacentral:lncRNA from 13 species